rnacentral:rRNA from 1 species
GAUGAACGCUAGCGGCAGGCUUAACACAUGCAAGUCGAGGGGCAGCGCGGGAUAGCAAUAUCCUGGCGGCGACCGGCGGAAGGGUGCGUAACGCGUGAGCGACAUGCCCGUUGCCCGGGGACAACCGGUGGAAACGCCGACUAAUCCCCGAUGGGAUAUUGUGCCGCAUGGCACGAUAUUGAAAGUUACGGCGGCGACGGAUUGGCUCGCGUCCGAUUAGCUUGUUGGCGGGGUAACGGCCCACCAAGGCUGCGAUCGGUAGGGGUUCUGAGAGGAAGGCCCCCCACGAUGGGACUGAGACACGGCCCAUACUCCUACGGGAGGCAGCAGUGAGGAAUAUUGGUCAAUGGGCGGAAGACUGAACCAGCCAUGCCGCGUGCGGGAAGGAGGCCCUCUGGGCUGUGAACCGCUUUUGCCUGGGGGCAAUAAGGGCGUCGCGCACGUCCGAUGAGAGUACCAGGCGAAUAAGCAUCGGCUAACUCCGUG